rnacentral:rRNA from 1 species
AUGCUCGCCUCGGCAGUCAUCAAAGUCAUCAAGGUGGCAAUAGGACACUUGAAUUCUACCAUUUCAGGCGAGAUCAAGCUGCACAGGAAUAUGAGGAACGAUCUGGAGAACAUGAAGAUGACGCUGGAGUCGGUGGACGGUUUGCUCCGUGACGCUGAGAGGGAGUCUAUCAAGCAUAACUCCAUGCUUCUGUGGCUGAAGCAACUUAAGGAUGCCGCGAACGACAUCUCUCACAUGCUUGAAGAUUUUGAAGAUGAAACCGACCUCAACCUGGCAUGCAAGAUUCUGAUUUGGUCACUAUCGAUCUUGAUCUGA